GAAAACUGAAACUAAGAAGGAAAUCAAAAGCAAAAAGCCAGAAACUACUUCUUUAGCCCUUUUCUUUAUGAUCUCAGGACUUCAGGGACCUUGAAAGAUUGAUUUCCUCUCACUCAAGUUUCUUAUAAAAUUAGCUUUGGCUCAUACAUCUGUAACACAGUAGUUAAUUUUACAAGAUAAGCAGUACAGGGGAAAUGUAUCUGAGGGGAAAAUCGAGUGCUGGAAGCUCGAGAGACACUUAUAAGGUCACAAAACAAAGCCGACCCUUCGAAUCACCAGUUGCCUUUGCGUUGUCAUCACCAUACUUUUUUGGAGAAGACCCAGAGGGUCGAUCUUGGGGACCACGGCAGACGCGGCACUGACUUCCCCACUGGUGAACCUCAGGAAGAUUAGCCCUGAGCUAACAUCUGCCACCAAUCCUCUUUUUGCUGAGGAAGCCUGGCCCUGAGCUCACAUCCGUGCCCAUCUUCCUCCACUUUAUAUGUGGGACGCCUGCCAUGGCAUGGCUUGACGAGCAGUGCCAUGUCCGCAC
rnacentral:lncRNA from 1 species